UUUUAUGGGUAUAUAAAAGGGGACUUUUAAGACACUGUUGUAUGUUGGAGCACCGAUUGUGCGUCACUGCCCGAGGCACGCCCAUUCCAGUUUUGGCUCUCACCGUCUCACAGUUCUCCGACGGGCAACCGUCAUAGUGGAUAGUUGGCGGCUGCCUUUCUCAUCCAAUAUGUUCCGGCUGUAAUCCCGUGCCUUUUUCGCCGUGUUGAUGUCCGUUUGCGUGUGCGACCGAACUCGUGACUAUAGCGACAACAUGAAGGAGGAAUAGUUCGAUUAGGAUCCAUUGCAUUCAGUGCAGCUUACGGGGCAACAUUCUUUGAUGCUGCUGCUUUGUUGACUUUAGUCCCUGUGACUUGAAACUGCUCUUUGGCGUGUGUUUGCGCUGUGUAUGUCCUCUGUUAGACCAGUUUUCUAUGUAAUUUUGGUUACUUUAUUUGUAUGUUUAUAUGAAAUUGUAAUG